GCAAGUCGAACGGUAACAUUUCUAGCUUGCUAGAAGAUGACGAGUGGCGGACGGGUGAGUAAUGCUUGGGAACUUGCCUUUGCGAGGGGGAUAACAGUUGAAAACGACUGCUAAUACCGCAUAAUGUCUUCGGACCAAACGGGGCUUCGGCUCCGGCGCAAAGAGAGGCCCAAGUGAGAUUAGCUAGUUGGUAAGGUAACGGCUUACCAAGGCGACGAUCUCUAGCUGUUCUGAGAGGAAGAUCAGCCACACUGGGACUGAGACACGGCCCAGACUCCUACGGGAGGCAGCAGUGGGGAAUAUUGCACAAUGGGGGAAACCCUGAUGCAGCCAUGCCGCGUGUGUGAAGAAGGCCUUCGGGUUGUAAAGCACUUUCAGUUGUGAGGAAAAGUUAGUAGUUAAUACCUGCUAGCCGUGACGUUAACAACAGAAGAAGCACCGGCUAACUCCGUGCCAGCAGCCGCGGUAAUACGGAGGGUGCGAGCGUUAAUCGGAAUUACUGGGCGUAUAGCGCACGCAGGCGGUUUGUUAAGCUAGAUGUGAAAGCUCCGGGCUCAACC
rnacentral:rRNA from 1 species